GUGAAACCUGUUGAAGAAUAGUAUUCAUUCUUCCAAAGAAUGCCAAGUGCCACUCAGAGGAAGUAAGGGGGAGUCAUGGGACAUGUUAAGGCAAGUGCUGAAUAUGGGGACCACCUACAGAGCAUCUUAACAGACCUUUCUCCCUCAGAGGGCCUAACCCAACCCCACUGCCCUUUCUCUUCCAGAUUUCCAUGUACUAACACCAAGAAGUGGUCAAGAAGCAUACCGCACUGCUCCUGGAGUCAGAGGAUCUUGAUCACAUUUUCUCCGUGUGCAGCUGUAAAGAAAUCUGGUGUGUCAGAAGGAAGAGGUGAGCGCAGGCCUCACCUCUAGCUAUUGAUGCUACCUAAAGCAAGAUCCUGAGGAGGCUAUGGCCCAGGUAAAUUACCCUAAUUCCCUCCAUA
rnacentral:lncRNA from 1 species